rnacentral:lncRNA from 1 species
AAAGGCAGAUGAAUAAGGACCAAUUGUAGAGCUGCAUUAAAGAAAAAUGCCAAAAUCUUCAGAAAAUAAGGAAUCUGCCAAAGAAGAGAAAAUCAGUGACAUUCCAGUUUCUGAAGGAACUCCAAGACAUGUAUGAUUUCAAGGCUUUGCAAAGAUUUUCACUGGCUGUCUUGCAGCAGUUACUGGUGGUAUGAUGUAUGAUCUCUACUUAUCUGUAUACCACGAACAGAAAUUCUGGUUUUCCAACAGGCAGGAGCUUGACCGGGAAAUCACAUUUCAGGGUGACAGUGGCAUUUAUUACUCAUAAAGAUGUGUUAAAGGCGCCUUCAUUUGAAAGAGGUGUUUAUGAACUGACACACAAUAACAAAACUGUAUCUCUGAAUAGCAUAAAUGCAGUGUAGCAAAUGUUUCUAUAUCCAGAACCUAUUGCCAGCGUUUUAUAUCAAGCCACUGGUAGCAAUGAGAUUAUUGAGGUGGAGUAUUUCUAUAUUGGCAUUGUUUUUGGAGUGUAAGGAAUAUAUGUUAUUGCUUUGUUUGUUACAAGUUGGCUUAUGAAUGGAACGUGGCUAGCAGGAAUGCUUACUGUUGCGUGGGUCAUUAUUAACAGGGUAGAUAUAAUACAAGAAUUGAAUACUCCAUUCCUUUAAGAGAAAACUGGGCACUACCAUAUUUUGCAUGCCAAGUUACUGGACUUACAGGCUAUGAGAAAGCAACUUAAAUACUUAUGGAGAGAGGUUUUGCUACUUGCUGAUGAGUGCUUCAAUUUACACAUUUAUGAUGAUGGGGAGUACAGCCACUCUCCCGUUUCUUCAAGCCAUAACUCUGUUCCUGCUAGAUAUCUUUUCACUGGAGCAAAGUGAUGAGGUUUAUGAAGUUUAUAAAAUCUAUGUAUUUUCUCUCUUCCUGGGAUAUUUACUGCAGCUAGAGAAUCAACCUUUAUUGGUAUCUUGUUUAUUAAGUUUGGUAGCAGUCUCAAUGCUUGCUAAGUGCCUUUGCUGAAUCUAAAGAAAGGAAACUUUGUAGCUAAAAUAAUGAAAGUGAUUAAUUUUUACUUGGUGUGUACUCUAACAGUGACAUUGUAUGUUAUAAUGAAGAUGUUUGUCCUAAACAGAGAAAACGGGCUCAUGCUGAAAUUCCUUGAAGUUAAGUUUGGACCAAAUAUGGCUAAGAAUUUUACAAUGAAUUGGCUCCUCUGUCAAGAAUCUCUACAGGGGCCAUCUCAGGAUUUUGUGUGUGUGUGUGAUUGACACAGUCUUCUUUAUUACCCUUUUAUAUUUUAGUGUUAAUUAUUUAUUUUGUUCCUAUGUUGCAAGUUAUUUUUAGGAGGAUUAAUGGUAAAUCCCUGAAAGAAGCUGUUACUCUUGAAGAUGAACGAAUUGGUGACAUUAUUGGAGAAAUUAUUUCAUAAUUCACACUAUUUUAUUGGGUUCUCUUGUGAUGGUUAUAGAAGGCUUGAAGUACAUCUGGAUUCCUUAUGUGUGCACGUUAGCAGGAUUUGGUGUACGUUCUUCUGAACUUUGAACGACACUUUUCAAGUGGUGCUGAUUAAGAACUGUAUACCCAAUGUGGUUGUCUCUCCCUGAGCAUGGCUGUGCCUACUAUAGUAGGUCUCAGUUUAUAGAAAGAGCUUUUUUCCAAGAUUAAUGGCACAAUUAACGGAGUGACAGGAAUUCUACGACCCAGGUACAGUGGAACUUAUGACAUGGAUAAAAAGGCCAGUUCCAGCUGCAACUGUGUUUGCAGGGAGUCCACAGUUAAUGGGUGCGAUGAAGUUAUGCACUGGAAGGCUGGUGACAAGUUUGCCUCUUUACAAUGAUGAUCUUCUCAAGAGAAAUGAAAACAUCUACCAAAUACAUCCAAAGCGAUCUGCUGAGAGUAUUUAUAACAUACCGACAGCCAACAAAGCUAAUUACCUAAUGGUAGAGGAUACUAUCUGCAAUGAGUUGGGAACCAGAGAGGCUGUAGGGUUAAAGAUUUAUUAGACAUUGAAAAUGACCACAUGGUUUGCAAAGAAGGUGACAAGCUAACCUACUCAAAAUAUGGGCAAUUUUUUCAUGAGGUCAGAAUUAACUGUUCUCUAUGUGUGAAUUAUCUCACUAGAGUAUACUGGAACAGAUCCUACUUUGUACACAAAAUCAACACUGCGGGCCACGUGCAG